rnacentral:piRNA from 1 species
UUCAGACAGCAGGGCCACUCAGCCUGCCU